UGCAGUCGAGCGGCAGCGGGAAGUAGCUUGCUACUUUGCCGGCGAGCGGCGGACGGGUGAGUAAUGUCUGGGAAACUGCCUGAUGGAGGGGGAUAACUACUGGAAACGGUAGCUAAUACCGCAUGACGUCGCAAGACCAAAGUGGGGGACCUUCGGGCCUCACGCCAUCGGAUGUGCCCAGAUGGGAUUAGCUAGUAGGUGNGGUAAUGGCUCACCUAGGCGACGAUCCCUAGCUGGUCUGAGAGGAUGACCAGCCACACUGGAACUGAGACACGGUCCAGACUCCUACGGGAGGCAGCAGUGGGGAAUAUUGCACAAUGGGCGCAAGCCUGAUGCAGCCAUGCCGCGUGUGUGAAGAAGGCCUUAGGGUUGUAAAGCACUUUCAGCGAGGAGGAAGGCGUUGUNGUUAAUAGCUGCAACGAUUGACGUUACUCGCAGAAGAAGCACCGGCUAACUCCGUGCCAGCAGCCGCGGUAAUACGGAGGGUGCAAGCGUUAAUCGGAAUUACUGGGCGUAAAGCGCACGCAGGCGGUUUGUUAAGUCAGAUGUGAAAUCCCCGAGCUUAACUUGGGAACUGCAUUUGAAACUGGCAAGCUAGAGUCUUGUAGAGGGGGGUAGAAUUCCAGGUGUAGCGGUGAAAUGCGUAGAGAUCUGGAGGAAUACCGGUGGCG
rnacentral:rRNA from 1 species